rnacentral:rRNA from 1 species
AGAGUUUGAUCCUGGCUCAGGAUGAACGCUGGCGGCGUGCCUAAUACAUGCAAGUCGAACGAGGUGCUUUUGUAGCAAUACGAGAGUAUCCUAGUGGCGAACGGGUGAGUAACGCGUUGGUGACCUGCCCCAAAGUGUGGGAUAACAGUCCGAAAGGAUUGCUAAUACCGCAUGUGGUCAUCGGGUUUAGAAACCGAUGACUAAAGCAGUAAUGCGCUUUGGGAGGGACCUGCGUCCCAUCAGCUAGUUGGUAGGGUAACGGCCUACCAAGGCGACGACGGGUAGGGGACCUGAGAGGGUGGCCCCCCACAAUGGAACUGAAACACGGUCCAUACACCUACGGGUGGCAGCAGUAGGGAAUAUUGCUCAAUGGGCGAAAGCCUGAAGCAGCAACGCCGCGUGUGCGAUGAAGGUCUUCGGAUCGUAAAGCACUUUUCUGAGAGAUGAGAAAGGACAGUAUCUCAGGAAUAAGUCUCGGCUAACUACGUGCCAGCAGCCGCGGUAACACGUAGGAGGCGAGCGUUAUCCGGAUUCACUGGGCGUAAAGCGCGUGCAGGCGGUUUGGUAAGUUGGGCGUGAAAGCUCCCGGCUCAACUGGGAGAGGUCGUUCAAUACUACCAGACUUGAGAGCAGAAGAGGAAGAUGGAAUUCCCGGUGUAGUGGUGAAAUGCGUAGAUAUCGGGAGGAACACCAGUGGCGAAGGCGAUCUUCUGGUCUGUUUCUGACGCUCAGACGCGACAGCUAGGGUAGUAAACGGGAUUAGAGACCCCGGUAAUCCUAGCCGUAAACGAUGUGAACUUGGCGUUGGUGGCUUAAACACCAUCAGUGCCGAAGCAAACGCGAUAAGUUCACCGCCUGGGGACUACGGCCGCAAGGUUAAAACUCAAAGGAAUUGACGG